UUAAUCUGGAUGAGGAUGUUUUAAACAGGCAGCUGAGGCCAGUGUUGAUCAGUGGCUGUCCAGGCCUUUCAGAGCCACUGACACGCCGGCAGCACAAUGAUGAUGUCACUGAUUCUUCUGCUGGCCACCCUGGGGCUCCUUGUUCAGGGUUCAUCAGGACAAACCAUCCUGACUCAGUCUCCUGGAUCUCAGUCUGCUGUUCCAGGACAGGCUGUCUCUCUCAAAUGUAAAACCAGUACAAGUGUUAGUAGCUGGCUCAGCUGGUACCUUCAGAAACCUGGAGAAGCUCCUAAACUCCUGAUUUAUUCAGCUACAACUCGUCAGUCUGGAGUUCCAGAUCGUUUUAGUGGAAGUGGAUCUGGGACUGACUUCACUCUGACCAUCAGUGGAGUUCAGGCUGAAGAUUCAGGAGUUUACUACUGUCAGCAGGGUGACAACUUCCCGUUCACACAGUGAUACAACGUCGUACAACAACCUCCCUCAGCUGGAGAGGAACUGAUCUGACUCAACAGCUGCACUGAAACUAAAACAACAGGAGGUUUAUCAAGAAGAAGAAGAAUAUACUUUGAACAUUUCAACACUUGAAUAUAUCAAAUAUAACACAAGCAUUUACACUUCUGCUUUAAUUAAACAAAGACUUUCAACUAUUCUUCUGAACUAUGAUUUCAUAAUAA